rnacentral:tRNA from 2 species
UGUCUCUGUAGCUCAGUGGAUAGAGCGCCGCCCUCCGGAGGCGGGUGCGCCAGUUCGAUUCUGGUCAGAGACGG